rnacentral:rRNA from 1 species
CCUUAAAGCGUCGCUGGAGGAGCGGGGUGCGCAACAUUAGCUAGUUGGUGAGGUAACGGCCCACCAAGGCGAUGAUGUUUAGCGGGGUUGAGAGACUGAUCCGCCACACUGGGACUGAGAUACGGCCCAGACUCCUACGGGAGGCAGCAGUAGGGAAUAUUCCACAAUGGACGAAAGUCUGAUGGAGCGACACAGCGUGCAGGAUGAAGGCCCUAUGGGUUGUAAACUGCUGUGGUAAGGGAAUAAAAAAUAGUGUAGGAAAUGCCACUAUAUUGAAUGUACCUUAUUAGAAAGCAACGGCUAACUAUGUGCCAGCAGCCGCGGUAAUACAUAGGUUGCAAGCGUUAUCCGGAAUUAUUGGGCGUAAAGCGUCUGUAGGUUGUUUGUUAAGUCUGGCGUUAAAUUUUGGGGCUC